UACGGAGGGGGCAAGCGUUGUCCGGAUUUAUUGGGCGUAAAGAGCGUGUAGGCGGCCUUACAGGUCAGCUGUGAAAACUCGAGGCUCAACCUCGAGACGUCGGUUGAAACCGUAUGGCUAGAGUCCGGAAGAGGAGAGUGGAAUUCCCGGUGUAGCGGUGAAAUGCGCAGAUAUCGGGAAGAACACCCGUGGCGAAGGCGGCUCUCUAGUACGGUACUGACGCUGAGACGCGAAAAGCGUGGGGGAGCGAACAGG
rnacentral:rRNA from 1 species